rnacentral:lncRNA from 1 species
GGAGCUCGUGGCUUUGGGCGGGGAGCCCUGCUCCACCUGAACAUCUGGCCUGCUGCCCAUGGGGGCUGCAAACACUUGGGACACUGUGAACGCUGUGUGGACAGAGCCCACAACUCCUCCAUUUGUGUCUGGCAACAAUGUGGACCAGAGGAGCCAGGACACUGUGUGGCCCACACUGAGGUGGUCAAGGAGGGUUGCUCAUUCCACCGAGGAACCGAAGACAAGUACGACAGGGAGUCCCCCCAUCCCUGAAGACCACAGCCCAGGUUUUGAUGGAGCCAGCUUUAUCGGGGGCAUUGUGCUGGUACUGAGCCUGCAGGCGACAGCUUUCUUUGUGCUACGCUUCCUCAAGGCCAAGGACAGCACUUACCAGACGCUAAUCUGACCCCAGUGGUCCUGGCUCCACCUUGAAAGGACAGAGGACUCAGAGGCUACCCUCUUGGUUGCCUUAUGGGCACUGGGGGUGGGACAAACUUUGGCCACCAGUUUCUGGUUCCUGUAGGCACAGGGCAUCAAGCAGGUUUAGCGCUGAUGACUGACUGACAUGUCCUCUCCUGGGCCUGGCACCUGCAGCUGAAAGCCUCCUUCAACCACCUCACGACUCAUCCAGAAGCUGCUGCCUCUUCCCACCAACCCACUCUGGGGUCUACCCUCAAAUAAAGGACACGUUUCCACCCCA